rnacentral:rRNA from 1 species
ACACUGUACGAGUUUGAUCCUGGCUCAGAUUGAACGCUGGCGGCAGGCUUAACACAUGCAAGUCGAACGGAACCUUCGGGUUUAGUGGCGAACGGGUGAGUAACACCUAGGAAUCUGCCUAUUAGUGGGGGAUAACGGCUCGAAAGGGUCGCUAAUACCGCAUACGUCCUACGGGAGAAAGAGGGGGAUCUUCGGACCUCUUGCUAAUAGAUGAGCCUAGGCCGGAUUAGCUAGUUGGUAGGGUAAAGGCCUACCAAGGCGACGAUCCGUAGCUGGUCUGAGAGGAUGAUCAGCCACACUGGAACUGAGACACGGUCCAGACUCCUACGGGAGGCAGCAGUGGGGAAUAUUGGACAAUGGGGGCAACCCUGAUCCAGCCAUGCCGCGUGUGUGAAGAAGGCCUUCGGGUUGUAAAGCACUUUAAGCGAGGAGGAAGGUCUUUGAACUAAUAUUUCAAAGAAUUGACGUUACUCGCAGAAUAAGCACCGGCUAACUCUGUG